AUACUUACCUGGCAAAAGAUAUACCAUGCCCAUGAAGGUAGUUUUCCCUGGGUGAGGCUUAUCCGUUGCACUUUGGAUGUACUGAGGAGCCCUGUGAUUUCCCCAAAUAUGGGAAACUAGACUGCAGAAUUUGUGGUAGUCGGGGACUGCGUUUGCGAUCUCCCCUG
ensembl:snRNA U1 U1 spliceosomal RNA